CCCGCACAAGCAGCGGAGCGUGUGGUUUAAUUCGAUGAUACACGAAGAACCUUACCCAGGCUUGACAUGUUGGUAGUAGGGAUCCGAAAGGUGACCGACCCUUCGGGGAGCCUUCACAGGUGCUGCAUGGCUGUCGUCAGCUCGUGUCGUGAGAUGUCCGGUUAAGUCCGGUAACGAGCGCAACCCUCGCUGUGUGUUAUAUGUGUCACACGGGACUGCCGGUAUCAAGCCGGAGGAAGGUGGGGAUGACGUCAAGUCAGCAUGGCCUUUAUGUCUGGGGCUACACACACGCUACAAUGGCCAGUACAAUAGGUUGCAAGACCGCGAGGUGGAGCCAAUCCUUAAAGCUGGUCUCAGUUCGGAUUGCAGGCUGCAACUCGCCUGCAUGAAGUCGGAGUUGCUAGUAACCGCCGUCGUCCAGCCUAUAGUGACGUAGAAUACGUCCGGGCCUU
rnacentral:rRNA from 1 species